rnacentral:rRNA from 1 species
UACGGGGGGAGCAAGCGUUGUUCGGAUUUACUGGGCGUAAGGGCGCGUAGGCGGCCAGCACAAGUCAGUUGUGAAAUCUCCGAGCUUAACUCGGAAAGGUCAACUGAUACUGUGCGGCUAGAGUGCGGAAGGGGCAACUGGAAUUCUUGGUGUAGCGGUGAAAUGCGUAGAUAUCAAGAGGAACACCUGCGGCGAAGGCGGGUUGCUGGGCCGACACUGACGCUGAGGCGCGAAAGCGUGGGGAGCAAACAGG